rnacentral:rRNA from 1 species
AUACGGAGGGUGCAAGCGUUACUCGGAAUCACUGGGCGUAAAGCGCGCGCAGGCGGCUAUUUAAGUUGGAUGUGAAAGCCUACGGCUCAACCGUAGAACUGCAUCCAAAACUAUUUAGCUAGAGUGUGGGAGAGGAAGAUGGAAUUAGUUGUGUAGGGGUAAAAUCCGUAGAGAUAACUAGGAAUACCAAAAGCGAAGGCAUCUUCUGGAACACUACUGACGCUGAGGCGCGAAAGCGUGGGGAGCAAACGGGAUUAGAAACCCCAGUAGUCC